rnacentral:rRNA from 1 species
CCUACGGGGGGCAGCAGUGGGGAAUAUUGGACAAUGGGGGGAACCCUGAUCCAGCCAUGCCGCGUGUGUGAAGAAGGCCCUCGGGUUGUAAAGCACUUUCAGUGAGGAAGAACGCCUGGUGGUUAAUACCCAUCAGGAAAGACAUCACUCACAGAAGAAGCACCGGCUAACUCCGUGCCAGCAGCCGCGGUAAUACGGAGGGUGCGAGCGUUAAUCGGAAUUACUGGGCGUAAAGCGCGCGUAGGUGGCUUGAUAAGCCGGUUGUGAAAGCCCCGGGCUCAACCUGGGAACGGCAUCCGGAACUGUCAAGCUAGAGUGCAGGAGAGGAAGGUAGAAUUCCCGGUGUUGCGGUGAAAUGCGUAGAGAUCGGGAGGAAUACCAGUGGCGAAGGCGGCCUUCUGGACUGACACUGACACUGAGGUGCGAAAGCGUGGGUAGCAAACAGGAUUAGAUACCCGUGUAGUC